AUGGAGGACUUCUCAGACUUUUCUAUCUCUCUCUCCUGUCAUUCAGGUAUCUCUCCUGCUGCUGACUCUAGAACUCAUCUCUCUCCUGUCAUUCAGAUCAACAUGAAGAUCUCUAUCUUUGCCGGUGUUCUGCUGAUCUCUCUGUGCCAACUGUGCAGCUGCUUUUUUUUUGAGAGUGCAGAUGAAAAGUUUGCAAAAGAGUAUAUUGUGACUGACCAAUGAACCCAGGUGAUGACUGACAGAGGAUUGGCUAUUGUCGACAAAACCUGUUUGUCGAAGAAAACCUUCAUCAAAGGUGCAGUGGCCGAGGUCCGAGCCGUCUGUGGUCAGGGUGAAGAAAUUCAUCAAAGCACAAAGACCUUUACACUUCUUGAGUGUAAUGUUGAUCCUGCACAUAGCACGCCUCCCAACUGUCAGUACACUUUUAAAGAUUUAGAAAGUAAAAUUAUUGUCACCUGUGACAAAAA